rnacentral:rRNA from 1 species
GCAAGAUACCACGGGCGCACGGCGGAUGCCUUGGCACAGGGAGCCGAUGAAGGACGCGGCAAGCUGCGAUAAUCCCCGGCGAGGAGCACACAUCCUUCGACCCGGGGGUCUCCGAAUGGGCGAACCCAUGCACAGCGGUGUGCAUAUCCCCACCCCGAACACAUAGGGGUGGGGAGGACAACCCGGGGAACUGAAACAUCUAAGUACCCGGAGGAGAGGAAAUCAAUCUCGAGACUCCCCGAGUAGCGGCGAGCGAAAGGGGACCGAUGGCCAAACCGUCGAGCGGGCAUACCCGGCAGGGGUUCCGCCGACGGGGUUGCAGGGCCGCGCAUCCGGGGGCUGCCGCCCCCGGGCGCAGGUCCGGCUGGGGAGCGGAACGGCAUGGGAGGGCCGGCCGCAGCGGGUGACAGCCCCGUACGCGAACCCAGACCGGACGGCGCGACGCGGUCCCUGAGUAGGGCCGGGCACGUGAAACCCGGUCCGAACCUGGGUGGACCACCAUCCAAGCCUGAGUACUACCCUGUGACCGAUAGCGCACCAGUACCGUGAGGGAAAGGUGAAAAGCACCCCGGGAGGGGAGUGAAACAGUACCUGAAACCGUGCGCCCACGAGCAGUCGGAGCAACUUUAUGUUGUGACGGCGUGCCUUUUGUAGAAUGAGCCAGCGAGUCGCUGGCGCGGGGCGAGGUUAACCGAAAGGGAGCCGGAGCGAAAGCGAGCCUUAACAGGGCGACUUGAGUCCCGCGCCGCGGACGCGAAGCCGGGUGAGCUAUCCGUGGGCAGGCUGAAGCGGGGGUAAGACCCCGUGGAGGGCCGAACGCACGUCGGUUGAAAACGGCGGCGAUGACCUGCGGAUAGGGGUGAAAGGCCAAUCAAACCCGGAGAUAUCUCGUUCUCCCCGAAAUAGCUUUAGGGCUAGCGUCGCGCGUUCACCGCCGGAGGUAGAGCACCGGAUGGACGAGGGGGCUUCGCCGCCUACCGAAUCCAACCGAACUCCGAAUGCCGGCGGCCCAGAGCGCGGCAGUCAGAGCAUGUGGGCUAAGCUGUGUGCUCGAGAGGGAAACAGCCCGGACCGCCCGCUAAGGUCCCCAAGUUCCAGCCGAGUGGCAAAGGAUGUGCGUCCGCCCAGACAACCAGGAUGUUGGCUUAGAAGCAGCCAUCCAUUCAAAGAGUGCGUAACAGCUCACUGGUCGAGUGGACAUGCGCCGACAAUACACGGGGCUAAGCUGGACACCGAAGCGGCGGGAUUUUAAUUCAUUAGAAUCGGUAGGGGAGCUUCCCAUGGGCGGAGAAGCCGGAGGGCGACCGACGGUGGAGCGCAUGGGAGUGAGAAUGCUGGCAUGAGUAGCGAGAGACGAGAGAGUAACUCGUCCGCCGUGAACCCGAGGUUUCCUGGGCAAGGCUAAUCCUCCCAGGGUCAGUCGGGGGCUAAGGCGAGGCCGGGAGGCGUAGCCGACGCGCAGCAGGCAGACAUUCCUGCACCGCGCACGCGGCGCUACGACCGACGGGGCGACGGAUGGGGGUGGCUCGGCGGGGUUCUGGACGUCCCCGUGAUGGAGCGCGGCCCGCGGACCAGAGAAAUCCGGUCCGCACACAGGGCGAGGCUCCGGACGAAGCGACUGAGCGAAGCGAGUGAGCCCGAGGUCCCUAGAAAAACCCCUAGGCAGGCGCGUGCGCGCCCGUACCGCAAACCGACACAGGUGGGUGGGUAGAACAUACCGAGGCGAUCGGGUCAACCAUGGUCAAGGAACUCGGCACAAUGGCCCCGUAACUUCGGGAGAAGGGGUGCCCGCGCGUACGUGAACCGGCUUGCCCGGGGAGCGGAGGCGGGCCGCAGUGGAGAGGCCCAAGCGACUGUUUACCAAAAACACAGGACUCUGCAGAAGCCGCAAGGCGACGUAUAGGGUCUGACGCCUGCCCGGUGCCGGAAGGUCACGCGGAGGAGUUAGCCGAUUCGGCGAAGCCCCGAAGCCAAGCCCCGGUAAACGGCGGCCGUAACUAUAACGGUCCUAAGGUAGCGAAAUUCCUUGUCAGGU